rnacentral:antisense_RNA from 1 species
AAUAUUUAUAUCGUGAAUAACAUUUAAUAACUUCAUAUAUUGAAAUAAAUAAAUGCGUGAAACAAAAAGGUGUGAUUA